rnacentral:rRNA from 1 species
UGGGGAAUAUUGCACAAUGGGGGAAACCCUGAUGCAGCGACGCCGCGUGAACGAAGAAGGUAUUCGUAUCGUAAAGUUCUGUCCUAUGGGAAGAUAAUGACAGUACCAUAGAAGAAAGCUCCGGCUAAAUACGUGCCAGCAGCCGCGGUAAUACGUAUGGAGCGAGCGUUGUCCGGAAUUAUUGGGCGUAAAGGGUACGCAGGCGGUUUAAUAAGUCGAAUGUUAAAGAUCGGGGCUCAACCCCGUAAAGCAUUGGAAACUGAUAAACUUGAGUAGUGGAGAGGAAAGUGGAAUUCCUAGUGUAGUGGUGAAAUACGUAGAUAUUAGGAGGAAUACCAGUAGCGAAGGCGACUUUCUGGACACAAACUGACGCUGAGGUACGAAAGCGUGGGGAGGAAACAGG